rnacentral:rRNA from 1 species
GGCGGAAGGGUGCGUAACGCGUGGGUAAUUUGCCGUGAAGUUGGGGAUAACUCGCUGAAAGGCGAGCUAAUACCGAAUGUGAUCCGACGGGGGCAUCCCUGUUUGAUUGAAGCUGGGGACCGUAAGGCCUGGCGCUUCACGAUAAGCCCGCGACCUAUCAGCUAGUUGGUGAGGUAACGGCUCACCAAGGCUAAGACGGGUAGCUGGUCUGAGAGGACGACCAGCCACACUGGAACUGAGACACGGUCCAGACACCUACGGGUGGCAGCAGUCGAGAAUUUUUCUCAAUGGACGAAAGUCUGAAGGAGCGACGCCGCGUGGGGGAUGAAGGGCUUCGGUCCGUAAACCCCUGUCAUUUGCGAACAAACCUUGCGUUUGAACAGAACGCGAGCUGAUUGUAGCGAAAGAGGAAGGGACGGCUAACUCUGUGCCAGCAGCCGCGGUAAUACAGAGGUCCCAAGCGUUGUUCGGAUUCACUGGGCGUAAAGGGUGCGUAGGCGGUGGGGUAAGUCUGGUGUGAAAGCUCGGAGCUCAACUCCGAAAUGUCAUCGGAAACUACUUCACUUGAGGUUUGGAGGGGGGACUGGAAUUCUCGGUGUAGCAGUGAAAUGCGUAGAUAUCGAGAGGAACACCAGUGGCGAAGGCGAGUCCCUGGACAAAUCCUGACGCUGAGGCACGAAAGCUAGGGGAGCAAACAGGAUUAGAUACCCUGGUAGUCCUAGCUGUAAACGGUGCACGUUUGCUGUGAGCGGAUUCGACCCCGUUCGUGGCGUAGCUAACGCGAUAAACGUGCCGCCUGGGGAGUACGGUCGCAAGAUUAAAACUCAAGAAAUUGACGGGGGCCUGCACAAGCGGUGGAGUAUGUGGCUUAAUUCGAUGCAACGCGAGAACCUUACCUGGUCUUGACAUCCAGAGAAUCCUGCAGAGAUGCGGGAGUGCCUUCGGGACUCUGAGACAGGUGCUGCAUGCUGUCGUCAGCUCGUGUCGUGAGAUGUUGGGUUAGUCCCGCAGCGAGCGCAUCCUUGCCUAGUGCACAUUUAGUUGAGCACUCUAGG